CACGGCAGAUGUGUGACAAGGGACAGGCACUGAGUGACUGGGAUUCAAUCGCAGUGUAACAUGCAUGGGAUUCACCACACAAUAACAGCUGUGCUGGGUGCCUACUGCUGCCAUGGGUGCCAAUGAAAUCCUCACCUCCCUUUAGCACAAGGCUCAGGAGCAGAGCUCCCAGAUCCUAGCUCUCCAGAGACAAUAACCAGGGUGAUAACCAAUGCCUGGGCGAGUGUUGAAUAACCAUCAACAGCCAUUGUCUAGCAAGGGAGCUACAAUGCAAUGAGUCACCUGCAUAAGGCCAUGCCAGUGGAAUUGCUUAACUUUGUCAGGUGGUAACUCAGCAAUGCCCACCAGACAUGCCUGGACUUGUGUUCUCCAAGCACAUGGACUAAGGGUAUAAAACAGAACACAGGGCCACAUGCUUGGCCUUUUCUCCUUCCCCCACCUAUGCUGCAAGCAGCAAGGAUGCUCAGAAAACUGAAGACUCCAACAGAGGAGACUGGCCAAGGUUUCAAGGGUGAAACCUGUGUACUGCAAUAUCCGGGGAGGUUUCCACCCCAAGCAGACAUCAGAAGUACUCAAGAUUUCACCAGCCAACCUGACAGCGUGAGCCUUCUGGCUGAAUUUUGCUGCCUUGGGUGCCCCUGGGACCCCAAGAUGGAUCUAAUUGGGGAGGAUCCUGUUGUCUGUGCCUGCAAGACCUGUCUUGGACUGUGUUCCUGUCGUCUAAAUAAACCUUCUGCUUUACUGGUGGCUGAGAGUCAUGGUGAAUUGCAGGAAGCUGGGGGUGCAGGGCCUUGUGUCCCCCCACAAUCUGUGACACUAGGCACUAAACAACAAUUGUAACAUUAAAUAAUGUGGAAGUAUAUGUGUUAGUGCAUGCUAGAUGUGUACAUAUGAAUACACGUGUGUAUCUGCAGGUAGGUGUGGGCGUCAGUUUCUACAAAUUUAUUUAUCUAGGUAUCUGGACAGAUGUGCAUUUCUAUGGUUGUCCUCUAUGGAUUUGUAUUUGGGCUUCAGGAGUGGGCUUUUAAUGGACCCAUUGCAGCUGUGAUAAUGUGUGGUCCUAAUUUCACAGGUAAAAUGACAAUAACUUUAGUGAACAAAAAACAUGGAGAUGGUUACGAAAAAUGGGAAGAGGGGAGGGAAAGAAUCAUGAAAACCUUUGUGAAAUUUCAUUUUUUUUAAAAAUUACCCUUUUUGACUAUUUUGCUGCCAGCUCUCGCGUCCUGUAACAAAUAAAACCUGAA